UACGUAGGGGGCAAGCGUUGUCCGGAAUCAUUGGGCGUAAAGAGCGUGUAGGCGGCCCGGUAAGUCCGCUGUGAAAGUCCAGGGCUCAACCCUGGAAAGCCGAUGGAUACUGCCGGGCUAGAGUUCGGAAGAGGCGAGUGGAAUUCCUGGUGUAGCGGUGGAAUGCGCAGAUAUCAGGAGGAACACCUAUAGCGAAGGCAGCUCGCUGGGACGACACUGACGCUGAGACGCGAAAGCGUGGGGAGCGAACAGG
rnacentral:rRNA from 1 species